GCGGGUGUAGUUCAAUGGUAGAAUAUGAGCUUCCCAAGCUCAACGACACGCACCCCGAGCAGCCCCUGACCAGGGCAAACGCGUCCAUCCGUG
rnacentral:tRNA from 1 species